GUGAGUGUGGCGAAGGGGUUAACGCACCGGAUUGUGGUUCCGGCAUGCAUGGGUUCGAAUCCCAUCACUCACCCCA
rnacentral:tRNA from 4 species